AAUAGAUACCCGGGUAGUCCACGCCGUAAACGUUGGAUACUAGGUGUGGCGGUCUUACCAACGACUGCCGUGCCGAAGCUAACGCAUUAAGUAUCCCGCCUGGGGAGUACGGCCGCAAGGCUAAAACUCAAAGGAAUUGACGGGUCCCCGCACAAGCGGCGGAGCAUGCGGCUUAAUUCGAUGCAACCCGAAGAACCUUACCUGGGUUUGACAUCACGGGAAAAGCUGUAGAAAUACAGUGUCCAUUAGGGCCCGUGACAGGUGGUGCAUGGCUGUCGUCAGCUCGUGUCGUGAGAUGUUGGGUUAAGUCCCGCAACGAGCGCAACCCUUGUCCUAUGUUGCCAGCGGUUCGGCCGGGGACUCAUAGGAGACUGCCGGGGAUAACUCGGAGGAAGGUGAGGACGACGUCAAGUCAUCAUGCCCCUUAUAUCCAGGGCUGCACGCAUGCUACAAUGGCCGGUACAACGGGCAGCGAUCCCGCGAGGGUGAGCGAAUCCUAAAAAGCCGGUCCUAGUUCGGAUUGAAGUCUGCAACUCGACUUC
rnacentral:rRNA from 1 species